UUGACCUCAAAUCAGGUAGAAA
rnacentral:rRNA from 2 species